rnacentral:rRNA from 1 species
GAGUUUGAUUCUGGCUCAGAACGAACGCUGACGGCGCGUCUUAAGCAUGCAAGUCGAACGGUAAGAGAGGAGCUUGCUCUUCUCCUAGAGUGGCGGACUGGUGAGUAACGCGUAGGUGACCUACCCUGAAGAUGGGGAUAGCUAGUAGAAAUAUUAGAUAAUACCGAAUAAGCUCAUAGACGUAAACGGAUAUGAGGAAAGGAGCUACGGCUCCGCUUUAGGAUGGGCCUGCGUCCCAUUAGCUAAGUUGGUGAGGUAAAGGCUCACCAAGGCGACGAUGGGUAUCCGGCCUGAGAGGGUGAAUGGACACAUUGGGACUGAGAUACGGCCCAAACUCCUACGGGAGGCAGCAGCUAAGAAUCUUCCGCAAUGGACGAAAGUCUGACGGAGCGACGCCGUGUGAAUGAAGAAGGCCGAAAGGUUGUAAAGUUCUUUUGCAGAUGAAGAAUAAGGGCAAGAGGGAAUGCUUGUCUGA